UUAAAUUGAUAGAAUAAAAACCUCAAAGCCUUGGAAAUUCGGUUACAGCAAAUUGACUCUAGGAGAUUAGUUCCUCUUCAUGAUCGCACAAAAACAAAAAGUUAUCGUGAAUAAUGUAUGAUUGCCACAGUAUCGCGGCUGCCCUUUUAAACAGAAUAAGGGUUUCACUAAUAAUUCAAACUGGGCCGGAAAACCUAAAUUCG
rnacentral:lncRNA from 1 species